UUUCUGAUCUGAGAGAAAUUUACAUUUUUCUUUUCUGAUUCUAUUUGUGGGGUUUUGAUACUUUCCUUUUUGGGUAGAUUUAAGUAGAUCCAUAUUUAAUUUGCGUUGAAGUGAAUUAAAUGCAAUAUUUUUUGUCCAGGUUCGUUUUUAUUUGAUUUCUAAGUUUCUUUUUUGGUUUAAGCUUGCUUUUGCUUCCUUUACAUUGCUG
rnacentral:lncRNA from 1 species